GUUCAUUUCAUAAGAAGGGAUCAGAAGAACCAGAGCCCAGCUGUGUCUCUAUGAGUAGUCACAAGUCUUUGGAUUUGCCAAUAGAGUUUAAGAGUGGAGAUACACAGUCUGAUCUCAGUUCAGUUCAUCAGAAGAGUCCAGAACCAGAACCCAGCUGUGUGUCUAUGAAGAGUGACGAGUCUUUGGAUUUUGCCAAUAAAUUUUAAGAGCAGAGAUACACAGACUGAUCUGGGUUCAUUUCAUCAUAAGAAAUCAGAACCAGAGCCCAGCUGUGUGUCUAUGAGGAGUGAAGGGUCUGUGAGUCCUCCACUACAUCCUAAGAGUGGAGAUACACAGACUGAUCUCAGCCAUGAUGUCCUCAACACGU